rnacentral:rRNA from 1 species
AGAGUUGGAUCCUGACUCAGAACGAGCGCUGGCGACAGGCUUAGCACAUGCAAGUCGAGCGCCCCGCAAGGGGAGCGGCAGACGGGUGAGUAACGCGUGGGAAUCUACCCAUCUCUACGGAACAACUCCGGGAAACUGGAGCUAAUACCGUAUACGUCCUUCGGGAGAAAGAUUUAUCGGAGAUGGAUGAGCCCGCGUUGGAUUAGCUAGUUGGUGGGGUAAUGGCCUACCAAGGCGACGAUCCAUAGCUGGUCUGAGAGGAUGAUCAGCCACAUUGGGACUGAGACACGGCCCAAACUCCUACGGGAGGCAGCAGUGGGGAAUAUUGGACAAUGGGCGAAAGCCUGAUCCAGCCAUGCCGCGUGAGUGAUGAAGGCCCUAGGGUUGUAAAGCUCUUUCAACGGUGAAGAUAAUGACGGUAACCGUAGAAGAAGCCCCGGCUAACUUCGUGCCAGCAGCCGCGGUAAUACGAAGGGGGCUAGCGUUGUUCGGAAUUACUGGGCGUAAAGCGCACGUAGGCGGAUUGUUAAGUUAGGGGUGAAAUCCCAGC